UACGUAGGGUGCGAGCGUUAAUCGGAAUUACUGGGCGUAAAGCGUGCGCAGGCGGUUUUGUAAGUCAGAUGUGAAAGCCCCGGGCUCAACCUGGGAACUGCGUUUGAAACUACAAGGCUAGAGUGUAGCAGAGGGGGGUAGAAUUCCACGUGUAGCAGUGAAAUGCGUAGAGAUGUGGAGGAAUACCAAUGGCGAAGGCAGCCCCCUGGGUUAACACUGACGCUCAUGCACGAAAGCGUGGGGAGCAAACAGG
rnacentral:rRNA from 3 species